UCAGUCUUGGAAUCAAGAUGCUUUGGGACUGACACGGUAAUAGCCACCCACAAGGGGAUCUGCUCAGGGUGGCGCGUAUGGCAGUCAAACGGUGAAAGUAGGAGCCCUUGGUCAGUUGGUGCCAAGCCCAGGGGAACCCCGAAUUUUAUAACCGUUUGACCGUUCGGGCGUAGCAGGGCGAGCCGAGUGCUGAUAACACGAUUGAAGGCUGAAACCGAACAGUGAGC
rnacentral:sRNA from 12 species